GCUAAACGCGAAGAACCUUACCUAGGCUUGACAUAUACAGGACGACGGCAGAGAUGUCGUUUCCCUUGUGGCUUGUAUACAGGUGGUGCAUGGUUGUCGUCAGCUCGUGUCGUGAGAUGUUGGGUUAAGUCCCGCAACGAGCGCAACCCCUGUCUCAUGUUGCCAGCACGUUAUGGUGGGGACUCGUGAGAGACUGCCGGGGUCAACUCGGAGGAAGGUGGGGAUGACGUCAAAUCAUCAUGCCCCUUAUGUCUAGGGCUUCACACAUGCUACAAUGGCUAGUACAGAGGGCUGCGAUACCGCGAGGUGGAGCGAAUCCCUUAAAGCUGGUCUCAGUUCGGAUUGGGGUCUGCAACUCGACCCCAUGAAGUUGGAAUCGCUAGUAAUCGCAGAUCAGCAUUGCUGCGGUGAAUACGUUCCCGGGUCUUGUACACACCG
rnacentral:rRNA from 1 species